UCGAAUAAACUUGAACAGGCUGUUGCUGGUCCCCUGGGAUAGCGUGCACGCUUGUCAUCUUUAUCACUUCUCCAAUUGUGCACAUAUUGUAGACCUGGAGCAUGUUGGAUCAUCGUUCCGAGUUGGGACUGCUGUGCUUCACACAACGAGGUCAGCUUUGCCCUUUUGCAAUCAGGUCUAUGUCAUUUUAACCUCUUGAAUGUCGAAUAACUAUGAAAAAUGAAAUAAAUA
rnacentral:misc_RNA from 1 species